CACGGGGGGAGCAAGCGUUGUUCGGAAUCACUGGGCGUAAAGGGCGUGUAGGCGGUCAGGUAAGUGGGAUGUGAAAGCCCUCGGCUCACCCGAGGAUCUGCAUCUCAAACUGCCUGGCUUGAGUAUGGGAGAGGAUGAGGGAAUUCCUGGUGUAGCGGUGAAAUGCGUAGAUAUCAGGAGGGACACCGGUGGCGAAGGCGCUCAUCUGGCCCAAUACUGACGCUGAGGCGCGAAAGCUAGGGGAGCAAACGGG
rnacentral:rRNA from 1 species